rnacentral:rRNA from 1 species
UGAAGUUGGAAUCGCUAGUAAUCGCGGAUCAGCAUGCCGCGGUGAAUACGUUCCCGGGCCUUGUACACACCGCCCGUCACACCAUGAGAGUCGGGAACACCCGAAGUCCGUAGCCUAACCGCAAGGGGGGCGCGGCCGAAGGUGGGUUCGAUAAUUGGGGUGAAGUCGUAACAAGGUACC